UAAUAAGUGUUUUAUGGCACUUUUUAAAUCCAUAUCCACCUUGUGUGCAAUGUCAGUCGAUCUUCUUCAUGGAGAUCGACCAAACACAACCUUUAUCUUUUAACUCUUUGUCUGAAAAAUAUUAUGAAUAAACAAUUCAAAAUA
rnacentral:misc_RNA from 1 species